rnacentral:rRNA from 1 species
AUUGAACGCUGGCGGCAGGCCUAACACAUGCAAGUCGAACGGUAACAGGAAACAGCUUGCUGUUUCGCUGACGAGUGGCGGACGGGUGAGUAAUGUCUGGGAAACUGCCUGAUGGAGGGGGAUAACUACUGGAAACGGUAGCUAAUACCGCAUAACGUCGCAAGACCAAAGAGGGGGACCCUCGGGCCUCUUGCCAUCGGAUGUGCCCAGAUGGGAUUAGCUUGUUGGUGGGGUAACGGCUCACCAAGGCGACGAUCCCUAGCUGGGCUGAGAGGAUGACCAGCCACACUGGAACUGAGACAAGGUCCAGACUCCUACGGGAGGCAGCAGUGGGGAAUAUUGCCCAAUGGGCGCAAGCCUGAUGCAGCCAUGCCGCCUGUAUGAAGAAGGCCUUCGGGUUGUAAAGUACUUUCAGCGGGGAGGAAGGGAGUAAAGUUAAUACCCUUGCUCAUUGACGUUACCCGCAGAAGAAGCACCGGCUAACUCCGUG